UACGGAGGAUGCGAGCGUUAUCCGGAUUUAUUGGGUUUAAAGGGUGCGUAGGCGGAUCGUUAAGUCAGUGGUCAAAUUGAGGGGCUCAACCCCUUCCCGCCAUUGAAACUGGCGAUCUUGAGUGGAAGAGAAGUAUGCGGAAUGCGUGGUGUAACGGUGAAAUGCAUAGAUAUCACGCAGAACCCCGAUUGCGAAGGCAGCAUGCCGGCUUCCGACUGACGCUGAAGCACGAAAGCGUGGGGAUCGAACAGG
rnacentral:rRNA from 1 species